rnacentral:misc_RNA from 1 species
GAACGCACCUUGCGCUCCUUGGUAUUCCGAGGAGCAUGCCUGUUUGAGUGUCAUUAAAUUCUCUACCUCACCAGUUUUGUAACGAGACAGGUGAAGGCUUGGAUGUGGGGGUUUUGCAGGCUGCCUCAGUGCUGGUCUGCUCCCCUGAAAUGCAUUAGCGAGCUCAUAUUGAGUUUCCGUCUAUUGGUGUGAUAAUUAUCUACGCCGUGGAUUGGACUCAUGCUUGCUUCUAACCGUCCGCAAGGACAAUUUACUUUGACCAAUUUGACCUCAAAUCAGGUAGGACUACCCGCUGAACUUAAG